rnacentral:rRNA from 1 species
CUAUGCGCCUUGCCAGCCCGCUCAGGUGUGCCAGCCGCCGCGGUAAUACGGAGGAUGCGAGCGUUAUCCGGAUUUAUUGGGUUUAAAGGGUGCGUAGGCGGAAUAUCAAGUCAGCGGUAAAAAUUCGGGGCUCAACCCCGUCGUGCCGUUGAAACUGAUGUUCUUGAGUGGGCGAGAAGUAUGCGGAAUGCGUGGUGUAGCGGUGAAAUGCAUAGAUAUCACGCAGAACUCCGAUUGCGAAGACAGCAUACCGGCGCCCGACUGACGCUGAGGCACGAAAGCGUGGGUAUCGAACAGG